UACGAAGGGGACUAGCGUUGUUCGGAUUUACUGGGCGUAAGCGCGACGUAGGCGGAUCGCUAAGUCAGGGGUGAAAUCCCAGGGGCUCAACCCCUGGAACUGCCUUUGAUACUGACGAUCUGGAGAUCGGGAGAGGUGAGUGGGAACUGCGAGUGUAGAGGUGAAAUUCGUAGAUAUUCGCAAGAACACCAGUGGCGAAGGCGGCUCACUGGCC
rnacentral:rRNA from 1 species